rnacentral:piRNA from 1 species
UGGGCCAAUCUGGGAAGAGCUUGACGAUGU